rnacentral:rRNA from 1 species
AUUGAACGCUGGCGGCAUGCCUUACACAUGCAAGUCGAACGGCAGCACGGGAGCAAUCCUGGUGGCGAGUGGCGAACGGGUGAGUAAUGUAUCGGAACGUACCUUUCAGUGGGGGAUAACGUAGCGAAAGUUACGCUAAUACCGCAUAUUCUGUGAGCAGGAAAGCAGGGGAUCGCAAGACCUUGCGCUGAUUGAGCGGCCGAUAUCAGAUUAGCUAGUUGGUGAGGUAAAGGCUCACCAAGGCGACGAUCUGUAGCGGGUCUGAGAGGAUGAUCCGCCACACUGGAACUGAGACACGGUCCAGACUCCUACGGGAGGCAGCAGUGGGGAAUUUUGGACAAUGGGCGCAAGCCUGAUCCAGCCAUGCCGCGUGAGUGAAGAAGGCCUUCGGUUGUAA